AGGGCACCACCAGAUAUGGAGCCUGCGGCUUAAUUUGACUCAACACGGGGAAACUUACCUGGCCCGGACACUGGAAGGAUUGACAGAUUGAGAGCUCUUUCUUGAUUCAGUGGGUGGUGGUGCAUGGCCGUUCUUAGUUGGUGGAGCGAUUUGUCUGGUUAAUUCCGAUAACGAACGAGACUCUAGCCUACUAAAUAGACUGCUCAACUUUUUUUGUGCAUAACCGUGCUUAUUCUUCCGGGCUUGGACGGAUGCGGUGACAUUAGAAGAGCUUCUUAGAUGGAAAGGCCUUUGAUCAGCCGCACCAAACACACGCUUAACUGGACAGAGAUGCCCUUAUAUGUCCAGUGCCGCACGCGCACUGCACUAACCUGAUCAACGUGUUCUUGACGGUUCCUACUCAGUGAGGAGUGUCUAACCCGUUGAACCUUCUUCGUGAUUGGGAUAGGGGAUUGUCGUUAUUCUUCUUGAACUGGGAAUUGCACACAAGCGCCGGCCAUACUAUUGAUUGGAUUACUU
rnacentral:rRNA from 1 species